UACAGAGGGGGCAAGCGUUGUUCGGAAUUACUGGGCGUAAAGGGCUCGUAGGCGGCCAACUAAGUCAGGCGUGAAAUCCCCAGGCUCAACCUGGGAACUGCGUCUGAUACUGGAAGGCUUGAAUCCGGGAGAGGGAUGCAGAAUUCCAGGUGUAGCGGUGAAAUGCGUAGAUAUCUGGAGGAAUACCGGUGGCGAAGGCGGCAUCCUGGACCGGCAUUGACGCUGAGGAGCGAAAGCCAGGGGAGCAAACGGG
rnacentral:rRNA from 1 species